UCGAUGACAUCGCUGUUGGCAU
rnacentral:miRNA from 1 species